GGUGCACUGCCUUGUGCGUUAGAUCAUCGAUAUCCUGGGGCCAAUAAAGAAAUCUAGGGGGCUAAUCCCUGGCUGGACCGUGGUCCUAUCAAAUCGGCUCCCACCUGACUUGUCAGGCCACAGUGAUUUCAUGCGAUCGACGGCUAUGGUGGUGCAGCC
rnacentral:other from 1 species